rnacentral:lncRNA from 1 species
CAGAGGACUUGUUUUUCAGAGAUAAAGCAGCGGAGUCGUCCCCAAGGCAGCGGAGUCGUCCCCAUGCAAAAAGCGUAAACAUCCCGAGACGUUCCCGUAAAGUGCCGAGCCGACUCUCUCAGAAAAACAGAAAAACAAGAAGUCAAAGAGUCCUUCUGCGGAGUCGUCCCCGUAAAGCGCAGAGUCGACCCCAAACAACGUCAAAAGAAAGUUUAUACAGCCAAGACGUCUCGCGUUGAAGCGGAGACGUCUCCGGAGCGCCUGGGACGCGACUGACACCUUUUUGCAGGUUUGUUUGAAUUUCAAACGUUUCUUUCUGUGUCUAACGGCUAUAUUUGCUUUUUGGGCUAUAAAAGGGAGCUCUUAAGUGCCUUCCAACUUCUUCUCACCAACCCAACAUAAGAUCAUUCAAGAGAGAAGAAAGAAAAAGAGGUUCAAAGGAGUUAGUGCAUUCAAGUGAAGAAAUCAAGUGCCUUCAAGCUUCCCAACUGAUUUCGUGCUCAACUACUCUCUCCCGCUCGGCAUUCAAAGCUCACAUUCAAGACAACGCGAUCCACAUCGGAAGAACCACCAUUUCCCACGCUUCCAACGGCUAAAAGGGUUCUUCCGGGUUUUGUUAUUUCUCACUGUUUUAUUUGCUUAUUUAGAGCUUUGAAAUCUUUUGUAAAACCUUUGGUUAUUGUGCUUGUUCCAGUCAAGGGACUUGGAACAAGGGAAAGGCGUCCCAAGCCUAGGUGAAAUUGGGGGUUGUAGGGUUCGUUGUUAGCCCGGUGUAAAACAACGAGUUGGGUAGUGCACUCGCAAAACUACCGGACUGUAAUCUUGGAUUAUAGUGGAAAUUCCCAAAGGUGCUUUGGGGAGUGGAUGUAGGAGCAGUGGAAGCUCCGAACCACUAUAAAACCUUGUGUUU